rnacentral:lncRNA from 1 species
AGGGUGGAGCAAAGGAUGAGAAGGAGAUCAAGGCGGUACGGACCCUCUGGAGUACGGUCCUGGAGACUCUGGUGGCGAUGAAGGCGGAGAGGGAGGUGGCUGCAGCGGCUACAAAAAUGUUGAGCCCUGCGCCAAGUAGCACCCCUCAGGGACCCGGCGGCGGGUCUCAGCUCGCUAUCAGAGGGACUGGCUCCGUGGGUAAGCCRUACCGCACAGUGGCUGAGAUGCUGCAGUCCUUGCGGAAAGGUUUGGCCGCCCCACAAGGAAAAGGGGAAGUUGCCACCGAGCCGGCCGGCUCAGGCACUGCCAAAAGCGCGGAAGUGCCACAAGGUGCCUCCCAUGACUCAGAGGGGGGCGGGUCAAUCCCUAGUGUGCCGCYCUUGCCAUCAGCCUGUGAGUUGCAGCGACCCUCAGUCCCUCCUCCACCACCUCCUGCACGGCCUCCGAUGACGCUGAGAGGAGCGUGGCGGGAGCCCUCRACCCCGCCCUCUCCCACAUCGUCGGGCACAGCUACGCCCACUACCCCCAAAGGAGGCGGGCCGUCUACGGCUCAGCUGGYAAAAAGGAUUGAGGAACUAUCAGAGAAGCUGGAAAAGCUGGAACUCAAUAAGGCAGGGAAAGGGUCCCUCCCUCCCUGCAUGCAGCAAGCUGCGCUUGAACCCCCGGCCGGGAGGGAGUCACGUUGGAGCGGCAUCAUUAGGGAUGCCAUUGUGGAAGGACAAUGGCGCCCCGGUGCCUUAGGGGGCGGAGCAUCGGCUCUGGCCUUUCCUAUUGUCUAUGGCGGGGGUGAGAAGAAGUGGGAGCCACAUGAUUGGAAACUCCUGCAACAGGCCCGAAAUAUGGUGUCAACCUAUGGAGUCAAGUCCGAGGCGACUCGACAGAUUGUGAACUGGAUUUUUUUCGGCCGAUCUCAUGUGUCCGUAUGACUGUAAGAACUUGAUGCGGCUGCUGCUCACCCCCACCCAGUACCUGUUAUGGGUGGCUUCUUGGCAACAGCGCAGCACGGAGGAGGCUAUGCGUCACCAAGACCCGGGCGACCCCCUGAUUGGCAUUUCAGCUGAAAUGCUCACGGGGGACGGGCCAUGGUCUAGCUAUYUAGAUCAGCUCAACUACCCUCCUUCAAUGCUCCAGUUGGCAUCGCGCCUCGCCUAUGACGCUUUCCUCACCCUGCCCGGAGGAGGCACACCGUCCUUCGGCAGCCUGACUCAAGGGGC